rnacentral:misc_RNA from 1 species
GAUGAAGAACGUAGCGAAAUGCGAUAAGUAAUGUGAAUUGCAGAAUUCAGUGAAUCAUCGAAUCUUUGAACGCACAUUGCGCCCCCUGGUAUUCCGGGGGGCAUGCCUGUCCGAGCGUCAUUACAACCCUCAAGCUCAGCUUGGUAUUGGGCCCCGCCGCUCCGGCGGGCCCUAAAGUCAGUGGCGGUGCCGUCCGGCUCCGAGCGUAGUAAUUCUUCUCGCUCUGGAGGUCCGGUCGUGUGCUCGCCAGCAACCCCCAAUUUUUUUCAGGUUGACCUCGGAUCAGGUAGGGAUACCCGCUGAACUUAGGCAUAUCAAUAAGCGGAGGA